rnacentral:rRNA from 1 species
UACGGGGGGGGCAAGCGUUGUUCGGAAUUACUGGGCGUAAAGGGCUCGUAGGCGGCCAACUAAGUCGGAUGUGAAAUCCCCCAGGCUCAACCUGGGAACUGCAUCCGAUACUGGAUGGCUUGAAUUCGGGAGAGGGAUGCAGAAUUCCAGGUGUAGCGGUGAAAUGCGUAGAUAUCUGGAGGAAUACCGGUGGCGAAGGCGGCAUCCUGGACCGACAUUGACGCUGAUGAGCGAAAGCUAGGGGAGCAAACGGGG